rnacentral:rRNA from 1 species
UGAGGAAUAUUGGUCAAUGGUCGCGAGACUGAACCAGCCAAGUAGCGUGCAGGACGACGGCCCUCUGGGUUGUAAACUGCUUUUAGUUGGGAAUAAAAGGCGGUACGUGUACCGCGUAUUGUAUGUACCAUCAGAAAAAGGACCGGCUAAUUCCGUGCCAGCAGCCGCGGUAAUACGGAAGGUCCAGGCGUUAUCCGGAUUCAUUGGGUUUAAAGGGAGCGUAGGCCGCCUUUUAAGCGUGUUGUGAAAUGUAGGGGCUCAACCCCUGCACUGCAGCGCGAACUGGAGGGCUUGAGUACACACAAAGUAGGCGGAAUUCAUGGUGUAGCGGUGAAAUGCUUAGAUAUCAUGAAGAACCCCGAUUGCGAAGGCAGCUUACUGGAGUGUAACUGACGCUGAAGCUCGAAAGCG